rnacentral:rRNA from 1 species
UUGAACGCUGGCGGCAGGCCUAACACAUGCAAGUCGAACGGCAGCACGGGAGCAAUCCUGGUGGCGAGUGGCGAACGGGUGAGUAAUAUAUCGGAACGUGCCCAGUCGUGGGGGAUAACGCAGCGAAAGCUGUGCUAAUACCGCAUACGAUCUACGAAUGAAAGCGGGGGAUCGCAAGACCUCGCGCGAUUGGAGCGGCCGAUAUCAGAUUAGCUAGUUGGUGGGGUAAAGGCCCACCAAGGCGACGAUCUGUAGCUGGUCUGAGAGGACGACCAGCCACACUGGAACUGAGACACGGUCCAGACUCCUACGGGAGGCAGCAGUGGGGAAUUUUGGACAAUGGGCGCAAGCCUGAUCCAGCAAUGCCGCGUGCAGGAUGAAGGCCUUCGGGUUGUAAACUGCUUUUGUACGGAGCGAAACGGUUCUCACUAAUACUGGGGGCUAAUGACGGUACCGUAAGAAUAAGCACCGGCUAACUACGUG